AUUGAACGCUGGCGGCAGGCCUAACACAUGCAAGUCGAGCGGAUGAAGGGAGCUUGCUCCUGGCUUCAGCGGCGGACGGGCGAGUAAUGCCUAGGAAUCUGCCUGGUAGUGGGGGAUAACGUCCGGAAACGGGCCCUGAUCCAGCAUCCGUCCUGAGGGAGAAAGUGAGGGAUCUUUGGACCUCAAGCUAUCAGCUGAGCCUAGGUCGGAUUAGCUAGUUGGUUGGGUAAAGGCCUACCAAGGCGACGAUCCGUAACUGGUCUGAGAGGAUGAUCAGUCACACUGGAACUGAGACACGGUCCAGACUCCUACGGGAGGCAGCAGUGGGGAAUAUUGGACAAUGGGCGAAAGCCUGAUCCAGCCAUGCCGCGUGUGUGAAGAAGGUCUUCGGAUUGUAAAGCACUUUAAGUUGGGAGGAAGGGCAGUAAGUUAAUACCUUGCUGUUUUGACGUUACCAACAGAAUAAGCACCGGCUAACUUCGUG
rnacentral:rRNA from 1 species